UACGUAGGGCGCAAGCGUUGUCCGGAAUUAUUGGGCGUAAAGAGCUCGUAGGCGGCCUGUCGCGUCUGCUGUGAAAUCCCGGGGCUCAACUCCGGGCCUGCAGUGGAUACGGGCUGUCUGGAGGCAGGCAGGGGAGAACGGAAUUCCUGGUGUAGCGGUGAAAUGCGCAGAUAUCAGGAGGAACACCGGUGGCGAAGGCGGUUCUCUGGGCCUGUUCUGACGCUGAGGAGCGAAAGCGUGGGGAGCGAACAGG
rnacentral:rRNA from 1 species